AUUGAACGCUGGCGGCAGGCCUAACACAUGCAAGUCGAGCGGAUGAAGGGAGCUUGCUCCUGGAUCCAGCGGCGGACGGGUGAGUAAUGCCUAGGAAUCUGCCUGGUAGUGGGGGAUAACGUCCGGAAACGGGCGCUAAUACCGCCUACGUCCUGAGGGAGAAAGUGGGGGAUCUUCGGACCUCACGCUAUCAGAUGAGCCUAGGUCGGAUUAGCUAGUUGGUGGGGUAAAGGCCUACCAAGGCGACGAUCCGUAACUGGUCUGAGAGGAUGAUCAGUCACACUGGAACUGAGACAGGGUCCAGACUCCUACGGGAGGCAGCAGUGGGGAAUAUUGGACAAUGGGGGAAAGCCUGAUCCAGCGAUGCCGCGUGUGUGAAGAAGGUCUUCGGAUUGUAAAGCACUUUAAGUUGGGAGGAAGGGCAGUAAGUUAAUACCUUGCUGUUUUGACGUUACCAACAGAAUAAGCACCGGCUAACUUCGUG
rnacentral:rRNA from 1 species